AUCAUGAUUAGAACACACGUUACAGUCACCUGAAUAAUACCAAUUUAUAACGAAAACGCAAAAAUUGGUAGUGUUCUAAUGAUCAUAACCGUGCUUUAUUACAUAGGUUUGAAAAGCUUGAAGAAUCAGCUUCAAGGAUCUAUGCAUGAAGUCAAAAAAUGUUGAAUGGUUUACGAGUAUUUUAACUUGUAACGAAAAGUCAAAUCUUUCUGUGUUAAAUAAAUAUGAAAUCAA